rnacentral:rRNA from 1 species
GACGAACGCUGGCGGCGUGCUUAACACAUGCAAGUCGAACGGAAAGGCCCUGCUUUUGUGGGGUGCUCGAGUGGCGAACGGGUGAGUAACACGUGAGUAACCUGCCCUUGACUUUGGGAUAACUUCAGGAAACUGGGGCUAAUACCGGAUAGGAGCUCCUGCUGCAUGGUGGGGGUUGGAAAGUUUCGGCGGUUGGGGAUGGACUCGCGGCUUAUCAGCUUGUUGGUGGGGUAGUGGCUUACCAAGGCUUUGACGGGUAGCCGGCAUGGGAGGGUGACCGGCGACAUUGGGACUGAGAGACGGCCCAGACUCCUACGGGAGGCAGCAGUGGGGAAUAUUGCACAAUGGGCGGGAGCCUGAUGCAGCAACGCCGCGUGCGGGAUGACGGCCUUCGGGUUGUAAACCGCUUUCGCCUGUGACGAAGCGUGAGUGACGGUAAUGGGUAAAGAAGCACCGGCUAACUACGUG